AAUAUGAGUAGAAAAAAAAGUGUAGUUGGCUAGUAUCUAUCUUUCUGACUAUCUAUCUAUCUAUCUGCCUAACCACUUCUAAGUUUUUCAUUCCACAUUUUUGUGCAAUGUGUAUUUGCUUCAUUUAAUGCAUUUUAUAUGUUUGAGCAUCUCCCAUGAUCCAGCACAAGUUAGGCAUUCUCAUAAUUUCAUCCCUUCAACUGUUUAUAUAUUUAAUUGGAAUGCAUCAGAACAGCUAUUCAAUCCAUUCUGAUGAUGCCCUCACCAUGCUAGUUGUUAAAAUACUUUGAAUAUUAUCCCUGCUCACAAUAGUUACCUGAGUUGGGAGUAUUUCCUCCAUUUGUCAGUGGAAGAAUCGUAAGCUCAGAGGUUCAGUGUAUUGACCCAAAUCAUAUGGAGAGCGUAUGUCAGAGCCAGCCUUCAAGUCCAAGUCUGUCUGUUUCCAAUGCUUUCCCAGUGCACCACACCAUUUCUUCUGAGGAUACAUCGCUGAUCCAUUGUUUUUAGAGUAUGAACAUGAGGAUCUACAGAGCCUUUUUCUGGACUCCCUUGAGGAUGAAUGGACAUCUUAAUGGUAUAUUUUGUAUAUUUGACUGCAUUCUACAUACAGUCAAUGGCUGUGAGAUUGCUAUUUUACAUAGAGACAGACCCAUGAUUUUGUGUCAAUUCUCUGGGUACACUAAGUAAUACAUUAUUAAGCCUAAGAACAUCAGAUGUGUGUAUGCUUCACAGAGUUUUGUAUUCCCAGUAGACAUGUUUAAGAAUUUAGAGAUUGUUGACAACUUUCCUAGAUUUCCAUGUGCUCUUUGACAUGAAAGAAGGGCAGCAAGUGUGAUCCUGGCCCAGACUAGGGCAGAAUUUUACAUAAGUGCCUAGAGUUUAGAGCUUAAGUGAUUUCUAAACAUUGUUUAAGAAUUAAUGCAUUUGCGUUUUACUACUUCUGAUUAAUAGACCUGCAUUUCUAUCUUAAAGGGUCGGUACUUCAGACUUUUCAAAUGUACUAUGUACUAAAUAACCAAACUGAACAUUUUUGUAAGCACUCUCUCUGAACCUUCACAACGAUAUGAAGAAAUAGAGAUUAUCCCCAUUUUAGGAAUAAGAGCACUGAAGCUUCCAUAUUCUCACCUCAUAAAUAGAAGGCUAAUACAUUGGCUCCUCUCCUUGAAGUAGGACCUAAGCAGUAAGUUAUGGCUUCACUGUAAUUGCUUGUGAAAAUCUAUGUGCAAUUUCCAUAAUAUAUUUGAGGGUCCCUAGCCUAGAAUCAAGUGAGACAAAUCCUACCUCAUUUGUGGUGGUUUAUAGUCAGUGUAAAAUAAGAUUAAUAAAAUAUACAUAGAAAAUCAGGAAAGAAAUGCACCAAUCACUAUAGCUAAUAGAGUUGCUAAUAUAUACUAAGCACAAAAAUUCACUCGAGUUUUCUGUUAAGCAAAGCCAAGAGGGAAACAUAGAAGGUUUCAUAUUCUAAUGAUCAGAAAAAUUAAAACACGUCAGAAAUUUCUCAUGUGAUUGUGAAGGUCCUUUUCUGUAUCUGAGAUUUCGUAAAAAUGAGGUAAUAGCAUCCGCCUUUCAGAAUCUUGGUGGUUUCAAUUGAGACCACAUUGGUACAUACAUUUUAGCUUACUGUUGUCUUUAUAUAAUAAAGAUUCAUGGUAGAAAUCUAUGCAGUCAGACUGUAGUUAACUUCACUAAAAUGCCAUGCUCUGAACUUCAUUGGGUCAUCUAGUUAUUAAUUUAACUACGUUUAUGUUGUCAACACCUGUGAGAAGCAUUUUACAAUCUUCUCCAACACAAAGUAGAUGUGAUUGUCCACAGUUCAUCAGUUAUGUAACUGAGCUCUAGAGAAGUGAUGUGACUUGACCAAGGCCACAUAUAAGGGUUGUAGUCAGAGUUUGAACCCCUAUCUCUAUAUUACCAAAGCCCAUGUUUUUUCUACCACAGUACACUGCUUCUAAAAUAUUGAAUAAAUUAACAGUGUUGGUAUUAUUUCUUUUUUUUUUUUUUUUUUUUUUUGUCUUUUUGCUAUUUCUUUGGGCCGCUCCCGCGGCAUAUGGAGGUUCCCAGGCUAGGGGUCCAAUCGGAGCUGUAGCCACUGGCCUACGCCAGAGGCACAGCAACGCAGGAUCCGAGCCACGUCUGCAACCUACACCACAGCUCACAGCAACGCCGGAUCGUUAACCCACUGAGCAAGGGCAGGGACCGAACCUGCAACCUCAUGGUUCCUAGUCGGAUUCGUUAACCACUCCUGUGUUGGUAUUAUUUCCAAGAAAUAUUCCAGUUUGUAAAGCAGUCAUUGUGAAAAAUUGGCAUAUAUUGGGUUAGAAUCUGUGUGAUGUAAAAUCACUGAUGGAAUCAUAAAUCUGAAGGCUCCACAUACCCUUGACAACAUCAGAGAACCUUUAAAUACCUGUAUAUUGUGUCUGCAUUUUGUUUCUUCAAAAAUAAUUUCUUUGUCAAGACUUGAGAACUCGGAGAGUGACAGAAAAUAAGGUCACCUGGGGACAACUAGUGACAGCUUUGCCAAUACAGUUGGAAUGUUCCUUACUGUAAAGCUUAUUUAAUGAAAAGAGACCUCCAAAACCUUUUUACUAAUGUGUAGUGCUCUUUUGUCAGUUUGAAAUGAGCAAACUGUCAACCUGCCGAUUACCAUGCAUACAGUAUAUGCUCAUUAAAUCAUGUGCUGUGGGUUUCUUCAGGUUGUCAAACUGCUUAAUUGAAAAAAUGUGUAGUGUCGCUCUUAUGGGAAAGAGGCAGGAAUCAAAGGACUGAAGAGCUUACUGUUAAUAUUUCGGAGUUUGCUUUUAAGUGCAGCCAGAAAUUGUUCUGUUUUAUAGUUUUGAUUAAAGGACUGUUCCUUUUGCAUCUUUUUUUGUUUUGUUUAUAAUUCAAACACUGUAAUUAUAAUGGAGUUGCUUUUAUAAUAGAGCUGCUAAAUCAUUCUGCCAGCAGAUGAAAACCAAAGUGAAUGGCUCAGAUUUUUGUGCUGUAACUAUAUAUAUAAGGCCAAUUUGGUUGUGUUGAGGCUGAAACAAACUAGGAAUAAGAGAUCUAGAUGGAUUUUAAUUUUGCUAAAUCUCUGAUGUGAUGUUUUCAUUAAGGAGAUUUAGGCCUUCUCAUCACCUCAGUGGGUGAGUUAAUCCUUUUUGAGAGCAGACACCCUUAGGCUACUUUGGCCUGUGAGAAUCAGGCUGUAUGAUUUGUUUAUAAGGUAGCUUUAAAAAAUACCAGUGCCCAAGCUCCACCCUAGACCAAAUAAAUCAGAAUCUUUGGAGGUAAACCCAUUUUUUUUUAAAAGCUCUCCAGAUUAUUCUAAUAUGAGCCCGGGUCAAGAGAGACUGGCCUAAAUUGACUCAAGUUGUCUAGUAUUUCAAUUCAAAGUGUAUUCAGCGCUGUUAUCAUCAAACAAAAGGCAUCAAAUAAUGACUUAUCAACCGGUAAAACUUUAGGGUUUCUCAUACAGUUAAAAACUCUGAUUUCACUUAGAUCUAUUAAGUGAAAUUCUUUGGAGACAUUGCCCAGGAAUCUCUGUUUUUAACCAGAGCUCUGGGUGAUUCUUAUGCCCCAAGGUCUGAGAAUUUGCUAAAGAAUCAAGAUGAUCUUUAGAAGUGAAGUUGAGUGGAACUUACAAAGAAAGUGCAUAAAUCACAAUAAAAUCAGGGCAGGCCUUUUUUUUUUUUUAAACAGUAGAUUUUGGUAUAUUCAUUUACACUUACUAGGAUCAUGCAUAUUUAUAAUAGCAACAGCUUUAUUUGGGAGGAACUCCCCUCAAACCAUCAACACCACUGUCUCAUAUGGCACCACAAACACACACGGAGACAUUCCAUACCUUCUUUAGCCUUUAGAUACCUGGGUUUAAUGACUAGGGGCAGUGGAUUUUCAAGGGCCUAGAAAAAUAUUGAGAACUGAAAGGAACAGAAGGUUAUUUUGAUUUCAAAGUAUGGAUAGAUUGAAGAAUCAGAACAGUUAGAUAUUUCAUGAAAUGUCAACAUAAUAGAAUAUUACGCUAUUGCUAUUAUUACUAAAUUUAGUAAUUAUAAAGAGGGUGUUUAAAGACAUUUUAUGAGUUAGCUUUUCUCAUUUUUAAGAAUGUCUGAAAAUGCAUUAUGAUUGCUGAGAAAUUUUAGCCAAUUUUAAGAUUAAAUAAACCAAAUUAUAUGUAACUCAGUAAUUUCUAAUGCAAAAAUACAAAAAUCUUCUCAAAGAUUUCACAUACAACAAUUGCUUAUUAUAAUCUGUUACUAUCAAAUGAAGUUAAGCCUCCCAAAGAAAAUGUGCCUAGAGCCUAGGAAGGUCAUGUACCCCAUAGCAUAUCCUUAAAAUUUAUAGGAUGUUUAAUUGCCCUGGGCUCCAUUCUCAUUGACAAGACUAUCAAAGUAUGACUAAGCAGUAUUCUAAAGAUAUAGUUGAAACUGAACAUUGUUGUUCAUCUUCUGUUCUCUAGAGAAAAAAAAAGCCAAAAUGAAGAGAAAAAUUAAUAUUUUUAGGUAUAUAUCACACUCCUCUUUUUCUUUUUAGGGCUUCACCUGCAUAUGGAAGUUCCCAGGCUAGGGGUUGAAUCUGAGUUGAAGCUGCUGGCCUAUGCCACAAACACAGACACAGGAAUGCCAGAUCUGUGACCUACACCUCAGCUCACAGCAAUGCCAGAUCCUUAACCCACUGAGUGAGGCUACGGAUCAACUCACAUCCUCAUGGCUCCUUGUCAGGUUUAUUAUUGUUGAGCUACAGGAACUCCCAUAUCACACUCCUUUUAAAAGUAUAUCACUUACAUAAAGUUGGGACUAUUAAUGAGCAUUGAGUGAGACUGACAAAGCAAAUUGCACACUCUACCUCUUGCUCAGAAAAUUACGCCUAAGAGAUUGUAAUAAUAGUAGUUAAACAACAUAUGACCAAAAUAAACGACAGAAAAGUAGAUGCUGCUGGAAAUUUGGAGUCUCUGAGAUCAGUUGGUAACUUGAACUGAAUGUCUUUUUACAAUUCUUCCUGCCACGUUCAAACUUUGGAUUUGAUUGCCUAUUAGGUCCCUAGUUUCAGAAUUCUUCUGAUCCAUGGAUUAUGAUUCCUGCUACAGACAUCUUACUUAAGGUAUAUCUUUUUUCCUUAGCCCCUCUUUUUUUCCUUUGUAAAAGUUGCCAUACCGGUUUUAUUUAUUUUUGGUUUACUUUCCUCUUUGUCUCCUCCCCAGAAUAUAAACUCCAUGAAAACAUGAGUUAUGGCUGUACUUUACUAAAUCAGUCAUGGGGAAGAAAGGGUGGGGACAAUCGAUCACUUUGUCCUUGCCAGCAAUGAUCAGUCAGAAAUGUCAUGCUAUUAGGAACAAUGUUACAAACACCUAUGGUCAGGAAAUAUUUUAGAACAUCUUUUGUAAACUUAGAUUCUAGAACUCCAAGUCAAUAAAUGAGUGAAGAGAAGGGAGUUAUAUUUAAGUUUCAUCUGUAU
rnacentral:lncRNA from 1 species